rnacentral:rRNA from 1 species
AUUGAACGCUGGCGGCAUGCCUUACACAUGCAAGUCGAACGGUAACAGGUCUUCGGAUGCUGACGAGUGGCGAACGGGUGAGUAAUACAUCGGAACGUGCCCGAUCAUGGGGGAUAACGGAGCGAAAGCUUUGCUAAUACCGCAUACGAUCUACGGAUGAAAGCAGGGGACCGCAAGGCCUUGCGCGGACGGAGCGGCCGAUGGCAGAUUAGGUAGUUGGUGGGAUAAAAGCUUACCAAGCCGACGAUCUGUAGCUGGUCUGAGAGGACGACCAGCCACACUGGGACUGAGACACGGCCCAGACUCCUACGGGAGGCAGCAGUGGGGAAUUUUGGACAAUGGGCGAAAGCCUGAUCCAGCCAUGCCGCGUGCAGGAUGAAGGCCUUCGGGUUGUAAACUGCUUUUGUACGGAACGAAAAGACUCUUUCUAAUAAAGAGGGUCCAUGACGGUACCGUAAGAAUAAGCACCGGCUAACUACGUG